GACGUAGGGCGCGAGCGUUGUCCGGAUUUAUUGGGCGUAAAGAGCUCGUAGGCGGCUUGUCGCGUCGACUGUGAAAUCCCGCGGCUCAACUGCGGGUCUGCAGUCGAUACGGGCAGGCUAGAGUUCGGUAGGGGAGACUGGAAUUCCUGGUGUAGCGGUGAAAUGCGCAGAUAUCAGGAGGAACACCGGUGACGAAGGCGGGUCUCUGGGCCGAUACUGACGCUGAGGAGCGAAAGCGUGGGGAGCGAACAGG
rnacentral:rRNA from 1 species